AGAGAGUGGUUCAGCUACCCUGGCCGACGGCUUUGAUGCUGGUGCAACUACCGUGGCCGAACAGUAGUCUUGUUGCAGUAGUCCAUUCCUGUUGCAGUUAUCGAACAUCGGAUUCUUACCACACGACCAUCCAACUGAUCAAUAGUAAAAAAUGAGGUUGAGUUACUUUUAACUCUAAAAGUUAAAUGCGGAAUAUGCCAAAUCGGGUUAACCAUGGCAACAAAUAGGAUAAACGAAAUUAAUGCAACAAUUAGAACAAUAGAUCGAAUAAGAAAAGCAAAAUACGGCUCUAGAUCACUUAGGCCAAACCCAACUGGAUCGGACUCUCAAACGGACCCCAUUGGAACAUCGAGUAAACGUCUUGUCUAGAGCCAGGCAGGCCGAGGCAGCGUCAUU